CCUACGGGUGGCAGCAGUGAGGAAUAUUGGUCAAUGGGCGGGAGCCUGAACCAGCCAAGUCGCGUGAGGGAAGACGGUCCUAUGGAUUGUAAACCUCUUUAGGCGGGGCGCAAUGCCGUGCACGCGUGCCCGGAGGGAGAGUACCCGCAGAAUAAGCAUCGGCUAACUCCGUGCCAGCAGCCGCGGUAAUACGGAGGAUGCAAGCGUUAUCCGGAUUUACUGGGUGUAAAGGGGGCGGAGACGGCAAUGCAAGCCAGGAGUGAAAGCCCGGGGCCCAACCCCGGUACUGCUGUUGGAAAUGCAGGGCUUGAGUACAGGAGGGGCAGGCGGAAUGCGUAGUGUAGCGGUGAAAUGCGUAGAUAUUAGGAGGAACACCGAUGGCGAAGGCGGCCUGCUGGACUGUGACUGACGUUGAGGCCCGAAGGCGUGGGGAGCAAACAGGAUUAGAUACCCGAGUAGUC
rnacentral:rRNA from 1 species